rnacentral:rRNA from 1 species
AUACGUAGGGUGCGAGCGUUGUCCGGAAUUACUGGGCGUAAAGAGCUCGUAGGCGGUUUGUCACGUCGUCUGUGAAAUCCCUCGGCUUAACCGGGGGCGUACAGGCGAUACGGGCAGACUUGAGUACUACAGGGGAGACUGGAAUUCCUGGUGUAGCGGUGAAAUGCGCAGAUAUCAGGAGGAACACCGGUGGCGAAGGCGGGUCUCUGGGUAGUAACUGACGCUGAGGAGCGAAAGCAUGGGUAGCGAACAGGAUUAGAUACCCUGGUAGUCCAUGCCGUAAACGGUGGGCGCUAGGUGUGGGGUCCUUCCACGGACUCCGUGCCGUAGCUAACGCAUUAAGCGCCCCGCCUGGGGAGUACGGCCGCAAGGCUAAAACUCAAAUGAAUUGACGGGG